CCCUCAGUUGUUCACCGAGUUUGUAAGCUGCUUCCUGUUGUUUUUCUCCCUUUGUCUCUGAGUCUUUUAAGGUCCCUGCAUUGUAAGGCCCGCCCUUUAUACCAGCAGGUGACUCACAGCAGGUGGGAUUCCCCUCCCUGCAUCAUCCCCCUCUGUGGGGAGCCCAGGUAUGCAGCCUCAGUUCCAGGGGAAAUGAGUAGUGUGGUUGCUGUGGCUAGAGGCCUGGGAUGGGACACAGCGGGGAUGGGGUGGGAGGGGUAAGGGAGAACAAAUAUUUAAAUUAAUCUGGUCUCAAGUUCCUUCCUGUUUGAUCUUUCCCUGAUCUUUUUGCCUCUCAAAGCUAUACCCCUACCCCACCCCAAACCUAAUUUCCUCACUUCCUCCUGCUUGAGGAAAAAGCAAAACAGAGAAACAUCCAUUCAUCUCCCAAUAGGAUGGUGAGCUGUUUGCAAUGAAGUUUGAUUCCUACCUGAUGCCCCCUAUUAGGAAUAAACGGGCUUCUUUUUCUCAGUUGGAAACAACAUUAUUUCAACUGGAUGGUCUUAUUGCUCCCCAUUUCAGGCCUCACAGUGGAGGUUAGAAAGGCUCUUGUGGGAAGAGGGUUAUUGACUAAGAACCACCUGACUCCUCAACCCUAGUGGCCCAAGAUUUCAUAGGCUCUAUAAGAGUUGGAUGAUGUUUUUUUCAGGACUAGUGCAAAUAAGG
rnacentral:lncRNA from 1 species